AUGAAUACAGUACUCUAGGUGGGAAAUGCCAAUGCUGCCUUUUCCCUUUUCUCUUGGGUGGGGCAGGAGGACGCCCUGCACUGCUUCUUCCAGCCCAGGGAGUUUUCAAGCAAAAGUAAGUGCUUCUGUGAGAACUGCAGGAAGAAGACACAUGGGAAACAGGUCUUGAAGCUGACCCAUUUGCCUCAGACCCUGACAAUCCACCUCAUGCCAUUCCCCAUCAGGAAUUCACAGCCUGGAGGGCAGUAUGAGCUCUUCACUGUAAUUACACAUGUGGGAAUGGUGGACUCCAGUCAUUACUGUGCCUACAUCCGGAAUGCCGUGGACGGAAAAUGGUUCUGCUUCAAUGACUCCAAUAUUGCCUCAGUGAGAAUCAUCAUCCACAGUUGCUUCCUGCCUGGGAUUGGCCACCUCUAACAAAUGCUGGGAUCCAGACUGCGUGGAUCUCUGAGAUCAACACACCGUGAUCUCGCUGUCUGGGUGUGGUGUUGUUUAUGAGAGUUAAAGCCUUUUUCAGCCUGAAGUCCCCACGUGGUUUGCACCUCUCCUCACUUCCCUUCACUUCUUAAGUUUUUGGUGCUUGAGGCUCAUGCCUUGUGGCUUCAUGCUUUGUGGGAAAUGUUUACAGAGCAAGUAGAGUUAGAAACGUGUAAGUUAGGCCUCUGGGAUAAGCAUGACUGAGUUUAAGCACAGGGACAAAGGUGCUAAAAAACUUCAUUGCACAUGACAUCCUGCCACUGAUACUCCAGGCUCUAGGGAGUUGGAAGAGGUGGGCUUGUCUGGAGGAUGGGGGGCACAUUAUAGCUCUCUGUCCUCUGUGGGUGCUCACAAGUAUCAGCUGGUGGCUGCUUGACCCCAUUUGUUUCUGGCUUCCAGGUGUCUUGGGAAGACAUCUGGUGUACCUAUGAAAAUCCUAACUACCACUGGUAAGAAACAUAUUUGAAUAAUGGGAGCCCAAUUAGCUCAUAUAGGGUCCUUGGAGCUGCAUGAAAUGUCCAUGGAUUCCCCUGUUACUGACAUACUGAUGACUAACUGUCCACCUCAUCUUCGGCACUCACCCCACUCCCCUGCUUGCCUCACAUAUCACACGCUAGGAAUAUUAAAGCAAAGAUCACAAUUGUUUUUGUAAAUGUAAUUUUUAGA